rnacentral:tRNA from 1 species
GAACUUGUUCCUAAAGUAAGGAUGUCUAGCUGAUAAUUAGAUUAAAGGAGGUUAAAUUCCUCUCAAGUUUU